UACAUUUAACUGAAGGAUGAGAUAGAGGCACUGAUAUAACAUGGCUAUCUCAAGAAAUUUGUUCAUGAUCAUGAAGUUUAGGUAGUGAUCGACCAGUUAGCUUAGCUACAGGCCAACGAGGGAACGAGUAACAAUUGAUGGCUAGCAUGAUCCUUAUGAUCUCUGGAGGUGCAGAUCUUGGGGAGGUAGAGUGUCUAAAGUGCACCUCGAAGAGGC
rnacentral:lncRNA from 1 species